rnacentral:rRNA from 1 species
GCAGUCCUCAGCCAGUCAGAGACUUGCGGCGGCGCGCUCUCUCUCGGUACCGCCGGCGUGACAACGGUCUCUGCCGCAGCGCCGACGACUGAGGCCUCUGGGAGGCUUGCCGCCGGUUCGUCAGAGUCCCGUAGGUGGAACAGGGGUAGAGGGAGGCGGCGCGGUAGUUCGCGAUGGAGGCGCUGGUCCUGUUCUGCGUGUACGUGGCUUUCCACGACGACGAAAGCAGGAGGAAGCUCGCGCGUUUCCCGUGGCCACGGCUCGACCGACGCCGCAGUUGGGCAUCGCGUGAGGAGCUGCUGGGGGUACGCGGACGCUCACGGCUCGUCGCCUGACGUGCCACCUUCCAAGUCAGGAGGAUGCCUCUAUAGCCGGAAGCCAUGGCGCUCCUACUCUGCCAGCGCAUACAGCGGAGGGCGUACGGACGUUAGAUGCGGCGUACGGUGGCGCACGAGGCACUCCAAGCAGCAGCCAGAGGUCCAAAACGUGGAUUCUUGCACAACCUGAAACCUCGCCCCGGUUCGAGUCGUGAAACCCGUUACUCCCGUCACACCGGCUUCAGGUAUCUCUCCCAAUUAAACUAGCUCGGGAGGUUUCUUUACGUCUCUCGCCCUGUCUGGGAAGAACUAUUAAACUUCCCUAACGGUGAAUAGGUGUCGAUACUAUCGUAGGUUCUCAACUUGGCGUCGUAGCUCUUUGUACUCGCUGCAGUGCUGGAACAUUAUAGUAGAAUGCGUGAACCCCUCUAAGGAAGUAACUUACUGGCAUAUUGUUAACACUCCGUUGAAACCCUGGAUUGUUUUCUACAAAACCAAAACAAUCUCGGACCUUGAGGAGUUCCCAGUUUCUAAUAUUCGGUUUACGCGAGUAUAUAGGAAACCUACCUUUUCUCUUUCACGGCGUUCUCGCUUUUUAGAUGUCCACGACGAGGUUCAUUUUACUUCUCAUACCAAGAAGUUCUUCUAAACGACUUUCUACCACGGAAACACCAACGGGGCACAGGAGUACUACCAGCCACAGGCAACCUCUUAAGUCUAUUUAUGACGGUGAAACAAGUCUCUAACCUCUCCUGCAGUAGUGUCGCAUAGAUGUUCUCCAGUUUUCCACACGGAAACGCACCAAAACUCCUACUCUUUAAGACAAUACAACGAAAUUCUUCCCCGUUCGCUGGUCUCCUUCGAACCGGUGAACUACCUUACUUUAAACUAUGAGAAUUUCUUGCAGUACGGUUCUCUUCGGGUCUUCUAGAAUAGUAACUGAUACUGCUAGUUAAAGGUUCACCCCUUCUACUUCUUCGAGGACUGUCGCUGCUCCUGUCAAACCAGGGUAUACGAAGACUAUGUGUUCUUGAUUCAGAUAAGGUACUCUCACCUCUCCUCCUCCUUCUCCUUGGGUAGGCACGACUAGAACCUCCUCCGACCCCGGCCUAAUAUAUGUCGGGGUAAGCUUCUCCUUCUGUUCAUGUCUACCUACAAACGGCACGGUGGUUUGCCCUACGCAGACUUCCGCGCAAGCUCGCACACCACCAGUGUGUUUCGUUCUUGGGACGAAACGUAGAAGUCCGGGCCUUCAGCGAAACCCCACUGGAAACCGGUAAAAUCCGAUGUCUAAGAAGUUCGAACCAACAUCGGUGUAAAAUCCCCCGAGGGUCAGACAAGUUGUCACCUGAGCGAGCCACUUUCAUCUUAGACCGCAAUCACCAUUGAAAACAAAGUAGCCAUAAACAAAAACUUUCCAAAACGAAGAAGGUACGUAAAUAUAUAAACAUUGCCUCGAUCAGUCGUUUGGAGUAGAGUUAAAGAACUAUAGUCCAUACACGGCCUCGAGACUCCAACCUUGAGACGUAGUAACGUUGCGACAAGCGGUUGUUACAUUGACGAAUGGUAGUAACCUAUUAUUAUUGUCGGUUGUCGGGUCGUGGAUUAUUAUAGUUUACAUGAGGGAUGCAUGGAACAAAACCAUGUCUCCAUCAUGGAGGAUUAUAAGUAUUGUAGGAUAAAUAUGCUAACUCGAACG